GUCUUUUUGGUAAUAAUUUAAAGUCUAAUCUGCCCACUGAUAAUUAUUAAAGGGCUGCAGUAUCAUGACUGUACAAAGGUAGCAUAAUCAUUAGUUUUUUAAUUGGAAACUUGUAUGAAAGAUUUGAUGAAAUAUGAACUGUCUCUUUUUUAUUAUUAGAAAUUUAUUUUUUAGUUAAAAAGCUAAAAUAAUUUUAAAAGACGAGAAGACCCUAUAGAGUUUUAUAUUUAUAUUUAUUUUAAAAUUAUAUAAAAAUUAAAAUUAAAAUAAAAUUAAAUAUUAUGUUGGGGUGACAGAAAAAUUAAAUUAACUUUUUUUAAAAAUUGAACAUUAAUAAAUGAUUAAAUGAUCCAUAAAUAAUGAUUAUAAGAAAAAAUUACCUUAGGGAUAACAGCGUAAUAUUUUUUUUUAGUUCGUAUAAAAAAGAAAGUUUGCGACCUCGAUGUUGGAUUAAGAUAAAAUUUAAAUGCAAAAGUUUAAAAUUUUGAUCUGUUCGAUCAUUAAAAUCUU
rnacentral:rRNA from 1 species